rnacentral:lncRNA from 1 species
GGGAAACGCAGCCCCGCGACGCCGGCAGGGACCGAUGCCGCCAGGCGUCUCAGCGGGCGAUGCUGGACGAGUUGCCGUCGCGGCCGGUGGCUCUGCUGCGACGCAGAGAUAAGCUCGGCUGUGUCCGUGGCCCCGGCCCCUGUGGGAUCAAGGGACGGAGCCGAUGGGAAGCGAUGGGAGCAGCGCCGACUGCAGAGCCAGGAAGCCGGAGCACAGCCCGGAGCUUAUUUAAGCACCAGAGCUGCUAUUUAAGGGGGAACGAGACUCCCACGUCUUUUAAAUCCCCGGUGUCCCUGCCCUCCGCGC